ACGCAAAAUGAGGAAGUGAACUUUGCAGUAGGUGUUAGCAAAUGUUGUUAGCGUAUAUGUUUUGUAUUUAUUUAUUUUUUUACCGUGGAGGAGGCACCUCGUGUAAUAAUACAGACUUAGAAAGUGGAACCAAAGAUACUGAACCAAAGAUGACUGAACCUUCACGUGCGAGCUCAAGUUUCACGACCUGGAUGGCACAGUUGGGUGCCAUUGCCUCAAUAAUCUGUGCGAUUGGUGGCGCUGCUCUCUUCGCCUCUGUUCACAAGAUUGAGGAGGGACACACUGGAGUUUACUACAGGGGAGGAGCUCUCCUGACCACCACCAGUAACCCUGGGUUCCACCUCAUGAUGCCUUUCAUCACUAACUUCAAGUCUGUGCAGACCACUCUACAAACAGAUGAAGUGAAGAAUGUACCAUGUGGCACAAGUGGGGGAGUGAUGAUUUACUUUGACCGGAUAGAAGUGGUGAACUACCUGGUGCCCUCAGCAGGUAAAGUCAUAAGCCAAAACAUCAAACGUUGGAGCAAUUUUGACAAGGUGCUCGAGUUUUAUCUCUCAACACAAAACUAAAAACUGAUCUUACUUGUGACAUAACAUGCCUGAUGUUCAAAUCCUUCCUUAGUAUAUAUGCUAUAUUGUUUCAAAACCAGUGUAACACAUGUAUUGUAACAGUGUGUUGUCCUCUGCACCAUCAUUUCAUGGGGAGACUCAUUUUCCAACCUGUGUUUUGAGUAAAAAUAAAACAACUGUUUAGUAAGUUCCCGGUUCUGUUAGUGAAAGGCGUCUGGACACAUUUUAAAUACUGUGUUAACUCUCAAAGUGUGCUCCAAGUCUCUUUUGUUAUGACAGAUGUAAGGGGUGGGGGGGGGCAGCCUGGUGUGGGAUGGUUGUGUACUUAACAGUGUUGUAGUAAGUGAGACCGGUCUUUUUUUUUCUUCUCACCAUUCUGAAUUUCUAAAGAAUUGAUAUAUUGUUGUAAAAUAUGAACACAGAAAUACUGAACACUUUGAACUCUUAUGCUGCCAAUUUGACACAAUUAUAAUCCCCCUCCAGUCUUGAUCUUGACUCUAUUUGUUCCGGUCUUGAAUCAGUCUCGCUUCAGGUGGUCUAGAACACAACACUAGUACUCGGCAACCAUUUUGAACACAGCUUACUGUAACCCUGCGAUAGACUAGCUUCCGCUCCAAGGGGUGUUACAUCAAGCUGCCCGAUGCUAAGAAACAGGAGACAGGAGGCUUCUGCCUUAUGGACCGUUCAGGCUCGGACCAAGCUCCGUAUUUACUGUAGCCACUACUACUUACUUACUUUAUGCUGCUUUCACAUAGGAUUUACGGUACUAUAUCAAAAAGCAAAUGUAAUAUUGAUUAACUUUCAGAUAUAAAGAAAAGAUAGGGAAAAAAUUGGAGGUAUGGUAAAGUUGGCGGAAAAACGUUUUUGUGUGAAAGGGAUAUUACUGUAGCCCACAGGAGGGGAGAACGGCUUGUAAUAAUGUCCGGAGCGGCGCAAAUGGAAUGGCAUCAAACACCUGGAAACCAUGUGUUUGAUGUAUUUGAUACCAUUCCACCAAUUCCGCUCCAGUCAUUGCCACGAACCCGUUCUCCCCAAUUAAGGUGCCACCAACCUCCUGUGCUGUAGCCAUUCUUCUUUGUCCUUUCUCUGUAUGAUAUAGUGAGGAACUUCACAGCAACUCUGUCUCCUCUCUUCUACAGUGUAUGGUAUAGUGAGGAACUUCACAGCAACUCUGUCUCCUCUCUUCUACAGUGUAUGGUAUAGUGAGGAACUUCACAGCAACUCUGUCUCCUCUCUUCUACAGUGUAUGGUAUAGUGAGGAACUUCACAGCAACUCUGUCUCCUCUCUUCUACAGUGUAUGGUAUAGUGAGGAACUUCACAGCAACUCUGUCUCCUCUCUUCUACAGUGUAUGGUAUAGUGAGGAACUUCACAGCAACUCUGUCUCCUCUCUUCUACAGUGUAUGGUAUAGUGAGGAACUUCACAGCAAUUCUGUCUCCUCUCUUCUACAGUGUAUGGUAUAGUGAGGAACUUCACAGCAAUUCUGUCUCCUCUCUUCUACAGUGUAUGGUAUAGUGAGGAACUUCACAGCAACACUGUCUCCUCUCUUCUACAGUGUAUGGUAUAGUGAGGAACUUCACAGCAACUCUGUCUCCUCUCUUCUACAGUGUAUGGUAUAGUGAGGAACUUCACAGCAACUCUGUCUCCUCUCUUCUACAGUGUAUGGUAUAGUGAGGAACUUCACAGCAACUCUGUCUCCUCUCUUCUACAGUGUAUGGUAUAGUGAGCAACUUCACAGCAACUCUUUCGCCUCUCUUCUACAGUGUAUGGUAUAGUGAGGAACUUCACAGCAACUCUGUCUCCUCUCUUCUACAGUGUAUGGUAUAGUGAGGAACUUCACAGCAACUCUGUCUCCUCUCUUCUACAGUGUAUGGUAUAGUGAGGAACUUCACAGCAAUUCUGUCUCCUCUCUUCUACAGUGUAUGGUAUAGUGAGGAACUUCACAGCAAUUCUGUCUCCUCUCUUCUACAGUGUAUGGUAUAGUGAGGAACUUCACAGCAACACUGUCUCCUCUCUUCUACAGUGUAUGGUAUAGUGAGGAACUUCAUAGCAACUCUGUCUCCUCUCUUCUACAGUGUAUGGUAUAGUGAGGAACUUCACAGCAACUCUGUCUCCUCUCUUCUACAGUGUAUGGUAUAGUGAGGAACUUCACAGCAACUCUGUCUCCUCUCUUCUACAGUGUAUGGUAUAGUGAGCAACUUCACAGCAACUCUUUCGCCUCUCUUCUACAGUGUAUGAUAUAGUGAGGAACUUCACAGCGGAUUAUGACAAGGCCCUGAUAUUCAACAAGGUUCACCAUGAGCUCAACCAGUUCUGCAGCGUCCACUCUCUACAGGAGGUCUACAUCGGCUUGUUCGACCAGAUAGAUGAAAACCUGAAGCUGACCUUACAGGAGGAUCUGACCUGCAUGGCUCCUGGACUCAUCAUACAGGCAGUCCGAGUCACAAAGCCCAACAUUCCUGAGAGCAUUCGGAGGAACUACGAGAUGAUGGAGGCUGAGAAGACAAAGCUUCUGAUUUCUGCUCAGACUCAGAAGGUGGUGGAGAAGGAAGCGGAGACAGAGCGGAAGAGGGCUGUGAUCGAGGCAGAGAAGUUAGCUCAAGUGGCUGAAAUCAAGUUUAGCCAGAAAGUCAUGGAGAAAGAAACAGAGAAAAGGAUCUCUGAAAUUGAAGCUGAUAAUAUUUUAGAUGACGUCAACACAAUUUGACGUCUUACCCCUGGGUUGCAGACGGAGCAUUCUUGGCUAAGAUGAAGGCCAGGGCCGAUGCAGAGUUCUACACAGCAGAGAGAGCGGCCGAGGCCAAUAAGUUGAAGCUGACGCCAGAGUAUCUGCAGCUUAUGAAGUUCCAGGCCAUAGCAGCUAACAGUAAGAUCUACUUUGGGAGUAAGAUCCCCCAGAUGUUUGUUGACUCUGGCCCCUCCUCCACUAAGGCCUCUGAUGCCAUGGACGACCUAACUGAACAGAUCCUGGACCUAGACUGAUGGAAAGGAGAAGAGAAGAGACCCAUCCCAGGGCUGGAGCUAUGGAGCUGGGCCCAUGCUAGCCACAAGAUCCCUCUCCCAUAUGAAUUGGCUGAGUGUCUUCACCUUAUCUCACCCGGAUCGUCUCACAAUAGCAGAUGUAACAGAUCUUAACUAGCCCACUGAAUGAACAUGACUUUACCUCCGUUUCAGAGAGUGAGCAUUGAUGUUCAAUUGUUUUUUUGACUCAAGAAAAGUCCAGGUUGACUUGUUUUCUCUCAAUUAUCUGUAAUUAUGCUGGGCAAAAGGCCAUUAUAUUCAUGUCUGCUCUUGAGAGAGUGUCCUAGACACAACAGAGAGUAUCUGUUAGAAUUGAGAUGUUGAGAAACCAGCUUCUCCUUGAGUGGGAACAGUGUCCCAUGCUGGAACAGAGAGAGCAAUGGCUUCUCUGUCAGUAGUAGUCAUAGUAUGAGGGAUACAGAUGAACAACUCUGAUAACGACAACUUGACAAACCACACUACACUCAAAGCAUGUUCUACUAGUGGUGUUUGACGGUUGGUCUCGUGCUUUGCCACUCGUUUUAAACCAUCACAUUUUAUUUUCUGGUAUUGACUACAAAUGUUGUAGGAAUGUUAUUAACUACACAGAUGGAUACCUUUUCUGAAACCGAGGCAGAUUUUGGGCUGAAACUCUCCUGGUUUUGCUUGGGAAGGAAAGGGAAGAGGGGUGACAUUAGAAAAGGGUUCGGGACUCACUAUAAAAGUAUUAUAAAUUAUCUUCAGCAUCAAAUCUUCCUGGGAAUUUGGAUUUGUGACAUUUAUCUAAUUGUACAUUAUACAAAAAGUUCUACAUGCAAUACAAGCCUCACACUCAUUGACGAACCAUCUUAACCCUCUGCUAUUGCCUAUCUCCAUGAUUUGGUGAAGGGGUGAUGCCAACCAAAUCCAAUUUUAUUGGUAACAUACACAUUUAGCAGAUGUUAUUGCGGGUGUAGUGAAAUGCUUGUGUUCCUAGCUCCAACAGUGUAGUAGUAUCUUAACAAUUCACAACAAUACACACAUCUAAAAGAAUGGAAUUAAUAAAUAAAUAAAUAUUAGGAUGACCAAUGUCGGAGUGACAUUGACUAAAUAGAAUACAGUAUAUACAUAUGAAAUUAGUAAAGCAGUAUGUAAACAUUAUAAGUGACCAGUGACUCCAUGUCUAUGUACAUAGGGCAGCAGCCCCGUAAGGUGCAGGGUUGAGUAACCGGGUGGAAGCCGGCCAGAGAGCGCUAUUUAACAGUCUGAUGCCCUGUCCAACCACUCCCAGUUCAGUAUUCGAGAAAAAAAUGAAAAAAAAAAGCAACUUUUGUCGUUAUCUGCUAGGCAUUUCAUACAGGCUCUACAUGGAAACUUUUUUUUCCUGACAUUGGAUACUAAGAGCAUUACAGGUGUGUGUUUUAACAGUACAUUUUAUCGCCUGCGUCUCGUCUGCGGUUCAUGACAGAUCAUGUCCAUAUAUAUUCGUCAUUGUGACGCAUGUUCACUGAAUAUUGGACCAGGCCUCUUGUUAUUUUCCAAAUAAAAUCUCUGUGUCAUCUUACAUGGACAGGAAUGGUGGAAAGAAAAAAACAAUAGUGUUUUUUUUUCUUAUUAAAGUGAUGUAUUAACAUAAAAGCAAACAAAAGCUGACUUGUCUUAGUCAUUCAUAUUGGAAGGAUGAGUCAAUGGUAUAAACAUGUAAUGGGGUUUUCAUGAAAGAUGCAACUGCAGCUUUUUGACUAUUUCACACACUGGUGCCCUCGGUGUAGUGUUGGACUGAGUUCAUUUGGGGUGAAUCAUUUGUAUGUUUUUCCCCAACGCUUUGACUAAAGCAAUGACUUGUUUGAGAGGCACUUGGGUUGUAUCCAUCCAACUGUUCUCUCAAAGUAACACUGGUUUGUUCUGGCUGUGUAAACUGUUUGUUAGACUCUCUCAGGUUGACUUGACUGAUUAUGACUUGAAGGAGACUCUUUUGCACUCGCUCACUGAUGUUAAAUUGUGAAUCAGAAAUCCAUCAUUUUGUGAUUUACACGAUUAAAUGUUUUUCUUUGAUAACGAGGUA